CAGCUUUUGUAUAAAGUAACACAAGAAUAACAUUGAGAUGAACUUCCAGUGACUACGUAGGCAACAUGCAUAAAAUUGGAUUUACGAUUGCUCAGCAUGAAACACGACGCCAUGCCAUAGCUUAAGGUACAUCGAAAGAUACAGUGGAAUGCAUCAUUUGCAUUGAAUCAAACCAGCGAGGAUUGUGCUGGGCAGUUUGAGAAUGGCCCCAACAUCUGUGGCAGCCACGCUUUCCUGAAGUCCGUUAUUCCUGGUAGUGUACCAGCGGCCUUCUCCAACGCAUUCACAGACCCUUCCUGAAGUGUGAAGUCCAGAAGUGGCAACAUGGAGCAUCCAGACAGAAUCCUUUCUAUGGUGCAAUAAAAAUCUGUCAGAGUCAACUGGGAAAUACAAAAUCUCUUUAGCCUUCUGAGGAAUUAGAGGUGCUUGUGAGUUUCCUUGGCUGUGGCAAGUUACUGGUGAUGCCCACGUCUAUAAAAGCUGUCAAAUCUCUCAACCUCAAUGGUGUUGAUGUAGGCGGGGGAGUGUGCACUACCCCCUCCCCUUUCUGAAGUCAAUGGCAGCCCUCCCUGUGACAUUGAGGGAACGGUUGCCGUCAUGUCAUCUCGUCACUAAGCUCGCCGUGUCCUUCCUGUACUCUGACACGCCAUUUCUGCCCACUAGUCAGAGCAGAAGCUAGCCACAGGGUGUAGAGUCGGGGGCUGAGGACAAAACCUUGUGUUCAAAAUAAUCGUGACGGAGGUGUUUCUGUCUAUCCUUACUGACUGUAAUCUGUCAGAAAGUCAAAGGGGCAUUUACAAACGGAAGCAUUAACUCCAUAGUCCAGAGUUUGGUGAUGAAUUUGUUUGGAAUAGUAUUGAAGGCAGAACUGUAGUCAUUAAACAAAGGCCUGGCAUUGGUGUCUUUUCUGUC